rnacentral:rRNA from 1 species
AUUGAACGCUGGCGGCAUGCCUUACACAUGCAAGUCGAACGGCAGCACGGGAGCAAUCCUGGUGGCGAGUGGCGAACAGGUGAGUAAAGUAUCGGAACGUGCCCAGUCGUGGGGGAUAACGUAGCGAAAGUUACGCUAAUACCGCAUACGAUCUAUGGAUGAAAGCGGGGGAUCGCAAGACCUCGCGCGAUUGGAGCGGCCGAUAUCAGAUUAGGUAGUUGGUGGGGUAAAGGCUCACAAAGCCGACGAUCUGUAGCUGGUCUGAGAGGACGACCAGCCACACUGGGACUGAGACACGGCCCAGACUCCUACGGGAGGCAGCAGUGGGGAAUUUUGGACAAUGGGCGAAAGCCUGAUCCAGCCAUGCCGCGUGCAGGAUGAAGGCCUUCGGGUUGUAAACUGCUUUUGUACGGAACGAAAAGGUUUGGCCUAAUAAGCUGAGCUCAUGACGGUACCGUAAGAAUAAGCACCGGCUAACUACGUGCCAGCAGCCGCCGUAA